rnacentral:rRNA from 1 species
AGUGGGGAAUAUUGCACAAUGGAGGAAACUCUGAUGCAGCAACGCCGCGUGGAGGAUGACACAUUUCGGUGCGUAAACUCCUUUUAUAUGAGAAGAUAAUGACGGUAUCAUAUGAAUAAGCACCGGCUAACUUCGUGCCAGCAGCCGCGGUAAUACGAGGGGUGCAAGCGUUACUCGGAAUCACUGGGCGUAAAGAGCAUGUAGGCGGGUUUGUAAGUUGGAAGUGAAAUCCUAUGGCUCAACCAUAGAACUGCUUCCAAAACUGCUUACCUAGAGUAUGGGAGAGGUAGAUGGAAUUUCUGGUGUAGGGGUAAAAUCCGUAGAGAUCAGAAGGAAUACCGAUUGCGAAGGCGAUCUACUGGAACAUUACUGACGCUAAGAUGCGAAAGCGUGGGGAGCAAACAGGAUUAGAUACCCUGGUAGUCCACGCCCUAAACGAUGCACACUAGUUGUUGCUAUGCUCGACAUAGCAGUAAUGCAGUUAACACAUUAAGUGUGCCGCCUGGGGAGUACGGUCGCAAGAUUAAAACUCAAAGGAAUAGACGGGGACCCGCACAAGCGGUGGAGCAUGUGGUUUAAUUCGACGAUACGCGAAGAACCUUACCUGGCCUUGACAUAGUAAGAACCUAAUAGAGAUAUAAGGGUGCUAGUUUACUAGAGCUUACAUACAGGUGCUGCACGGCUGUCGUCAGCUCGUGUCGUGAGAUGUUGGGUUAAGUCCCGCAACGAGCGCAACCCUCGUGUCUAGUUACUAACAGUUCGGCUGAGGACUCUAGACAGACUGCCUGGGUAACCAGGAGGAAGGUGAGGACGACGUCAAGUCAUCAUGGCCCUUACGGCCAGGGCUACACACGUGCUACAAUGGGGUAUACAGAGAGCAGCAAUACCGCGAGGUGGAGCAAAUCUUUAAAAUAUCUCCCAGUUCGGAUAGCAGUCUGCAACUCGACUGCUUGAAGUUGGAAUCGCUAGUAAUCGUGAAUCAGCAAUGUCACGGUGAAUACGU